CUGGGCGUGAGGGGGUGUGUUAAGAGUCCCACAUCGGACAAUAUAUGGUUUGAACAUGUGUUUAUAAAUGGAGGCAGUCCUCACUCUACCAACUGGUUUUGUAGGGUUGAGUUAGGCCCAAUCACACAUUCUUAACGAAAUCCCGCUAGGAAAGGUAUGAACAAUGGCAUGCAGAACAACCUCUCUGCAAGAAGCAAUCAAGUCGAAAACGAGCGGCCGACAACCCUUAGGACUGCAAGAUCGUGGCUUAUCUUGGAAAUAACUAGGAGAAGAAGCCCUAUUGGAUCUUCAAUUUUGAUAUCUUCUAGAAUUGUCUUUUGGGGUUAAUUGAUGAGUCAUCAAAUUUUGUUUUAGCUUGAAAAGCCAUGUUAUUUCCUACUGCAGCUCAAGAAGUCUAUGCAUUUGAUUUUACAAUUCAAAUGAAAGUUAAGAAGGUGCAAAUGGGAUGUUCGUUUGAGUCUUAAAACUGUUUGUGUCAUGCAUUUCUGUCAUGAACUGCUAUUAUUGGAUGAUAUCAAUCUGGUAUGGUUCAUUAAGACUGUGCAGAUAGUUACCAUGCAAAUUAGGGCUUUCUUUAUUACUCAAGAUACAUGUCACGGACAUUGCAACGGAGUAUUUUGAUGCUGGAAGUGUAAGAGAUUUGCAUUGCAGGCUGUUGUAGGCUUGUAGCAGUAGUCCCGCUUGGAGUUUUUCAACUCGGUUCAUUAAAGGUAUUUGCAUGGAAUGAAAAACAUCAGGGUUUGCGUCAUGAAAUCGGUUUCCUGCAGAUAUAUAAUCAAAUUCCGAAGGAAAAAUGCAGAUUUGUAGUUGUGUUUUUUAUAUGAUUCAAACAAACAUAUAAGCAAUAGUAAAAAGUGUAUGCAUUUUAUUAUGGCAAUUGCAAGGUGAACAAAACUAGUGUUAUUCGCCCCUUAUAGAUGCAUACAAAUUUAGAUUAAGAUUGGGAUUUUAAGGCCAUACUUUAUUGUUUUAUUAUCGGAACUGAAAUUCUUCUCUACAGUACAUUCAAAA